UGGGACAACCUGAAAGUGCCAUUUCUAUAUGGAAUAUUUCUUUUGAGGACCAACCUAGAAAAGACAUUGUUAUACGGUUCUCUCUAUCUUUUGUACAUAAAAGAGCAACUCUUCGUCCAUCCAUCAGAACAUAAUUUGGCAGAUAGAACCAGUUUAAUAAAACGAGAAUCUCUAAGGAGCUCGAGGAUGAUCAAAGAUACAGUAAUCUGAAUGCAUGUCAAAAGGAACAUUAGUUUGAUGAAGUAACAAGUAUACCUUUCUGGACAAUCAAAGCACGAAGGGAUGUAUACUCCUGGUUCAAUUGUGAUGACCUACAUAUAAAAGUCAAUGAUUGGCUCUUGCAGAAAUCACAAGUAAUUAGAAGCUAACAUCAAAAGGACUCGUCUUUUUUUGUGGCCAGGAAUUCCUCUUAUCAAUCACCGCUUCAUCAAGGUUAAAUGUAGAAACCACCAGAUGGAGCACGAGCUUACAACAAAUGUCUAAAUAAUGACCAGGCUAUUUCAUCCAAGACUAUUAGCUUUGUCUAAUUUCAUCUGAUCAUUCUGAGCAAAAUAAAUGAUCAACCAAAGACUCAUCAAACAACAGCACAAUCAACUUUCAAUAAUGGGAUGAUACAAUCUGUGCUUUGCCUAAACAGGGAGUCAGAGUAACUUUUUUUCUUGCUUAUAGAAUUUUGAGGCAAUGCAGAAUGGAAACAUCAGAGAAUUUAACAGACUGACCAGCUAAUGGUGAAAUUGAUAUGGGGGGUUUUCUUUUGGUUUUUUUUUUUUUGGGGGGGGGGGGGGGGGGGGGGUGUUAAAAUUAGGUUUGGUUAGUGAGGUGGCAUUAUAAUAUUAAUGCCAUGUGGGAUUGGGCUCCACCUUGGUCAAUUUUAACGGUGGAGGGGUAUAUUUGUGCCCAAAGUAUAACGGUAGGGGUAUAUUUGAACCCAAAGUAUAACGAGGGGUAUAUUUGACCCUUUUCCGUAACUUAAAUCUACCACCUACACCAAUUAGUUUAUCA